CCUACGGGUGGCAGCAGUGAGGAAUAUUGGUCAAUGGGCUUACGCCUGAACCAGCCAAGUCGCGUGAGGGAAGACUGCCCUAUGGGUUGUAAACCUCUUUUGUCAGGGAGCAACGCCGGCUACGUGUAGCCGGACUGAGAGUACCUGAAGAAAAAGCAUCGGCUAACUCCGUGCCAGCAGCCGCGGUAAUACGGAGGAUGCGAGCGUUAUCCGGAUUUAUUGGGUUAAAAGGGUGCGUAGGCGGAAUGCCAAGUCAGCGGUAAAAUCGCGGGGCGCAACCUCGCUCAGCCGUUAAGACUGGCGUACUUGAGUAGGCGAGAAGUAUGCGGAAUGCGUGGUGUAGCGGUGAAAUGCAUAGAUAU
rnacentral:rRNA from 1 species